UGGAUGACCUUUGCACUGGCAUCUCGUGU
rnacentral:piRNA from 1 species